rnacentral:lncRNA from 1 species
GUGAACUAUAGUUAAAAUCCAUUUAGUAAGAUAAAAAAAAGAGCUUUUCAUUUUUCAACUCAUAUUACUCAAAACAAUUUUUUUGGGUAAUUCUCUUUUAGUUUUUAGUUUUUAGUUUUUUAAAUUAAUUUUUAGCUUUUUUUUAAAGCUAGCUUUUAAGUUUGUCAUUUUUAACUUUUAAUUUUUUCUUCCAUUUAUAUUUUUA